UACACGAGCACCAACAUGAAAUUGUCACUUCCCUCUGUCCAGCUGUCCUUCCUCACUGCUGACGUGGGCAGAGACUGGGUGGUGCCUGGGAAUGAAAGAAAGGGCUUCUCCUUUGACCGGAUGAACCUGAAAGAGACUCUUAACAAGAUGCAAGAAUCAGAAGAGAGAAUGGGAGGCGCGUCUUACCUCACAGCAGCAGAAGAGUCCAGACCCUUAGGCCUUUUGCUUUGAGGCAUUUAAAUGGAAAUAAAAGUGGAUUUAUU
rnacentral:lncRNA from 1 species